GGCAGCUCGUUCGUCCUGUAACCGUCAGUAUCGUGUCUACUUUCGCCAUCGUCAUUGGCACUGCUGUUGCUACCGCUGAGGCGGAGGGUCGGUUAAUAGCUGUUGCAGUUCACUUUGCAACUGCUUUGAUCUUUAUAUCAUUGAGGAAACAUUUAAAAAUAGGUGCUGUCGAGGAGUUUCUUAAAGCAGUGAUAAAACGAAUUAAACACUAACGAUAUUUUUAUAUUUCUAAGUGUAUAUUGUGUCUGCAAUAACGAAGAAUCUUAUGCAUAUCUAAAUAGAUAGAUCGCAAUUUGUACAGUUUUGGGGGGCGGCGCAGUGAAAACCGUUUAAGUAUGCAAAUAAAAGUAAAAAAAGUGUACAUAAAAAGUGACAAAUGAACGCCGCACGUCAAUCGUUAGCAUGGUUGAUUCCAAAAAAAAAAUGUGAAAGUGCAGUAAAAAGUGAAGCUUAGAUAUCACUUCAAUAUGUACAUAUGUAUAUUCAUAUGUAAAAAGUGUAUGUCAUAGCUCCAAAUUUAAUUGAAACAAACACAAGAAUUAAUAAAUAUUUUAAUAUCGAUUAAAAGGUGUAAUACCCGAACAAGCAGAAUAAGCGUUCGUAACAGCAGUAGCAACAGCAACAGCAGCAGUAGCAACAAUAUUAAUCAUUAUUCACCAUUCUAAAAUGUUACCGAUGCUAGCGAGAUAAUAUUUCAUCGCAAAUUGACGCCGUUUCACUCAGCAAGUUAACGAUUAAAAUAGGAUUUCCGCUUCCUUCCGCUAAUCUGAUGCCUUCGCAUAUCUACAUAUGAAACAAAAAAUGGCACAUUCUAAAAUCAACAUAAUAAUACGAAAUGAAUUUAAUCAAUAAAACAAAUGCACUAGUUUCGUUUCGAUUAUCAAAUGCGACUAAUGUGAAGUGUAAACUGUUUCCAAUAAUAAGGAGCCAUUUAGUAUAACUACUGUACGAUACAUACUUAUAACAAAUAUACAUAUUUAAGCACAAUAUUCACAGCCCCGCCCUGCAGACAACCACAACCCGUCAACUGAAAACAGCAAAAUAAAACGGCAACACGUGGCCUCAACAGGGAAAAGUGUAAUCUAAAGCUAUUGUUUCUACUAGGAUCAAAGAUUUGUAAAAGUGGAGGGCGCUAGUUGAAGAUGGCGCCUCGGAUAUAGCUGUUAUCCAAAGCUAACCCGCGACAUCCAUGUGC